UACGUAGGGUGCAAGCGUUAAUCGGAAUUACUGGGCGUAAAGCGUGCGCAGGCGGUUUUGUAAGACUGUCGUGAAAUCCCCGGGCUCAACCUGGGAAUGGCGAUGGUGACUGCAAGGCUAGAGUUUGGCAGAGGGGGGUAGAAUUCCACGUGUAGCAGUGAAAUGCGUAGAUAUGUGGAGGAACACCGAUGGCGAAGGCAGCCCCCCGGGUCAAAACUGACGCUCAUGCACGAAAGCGUGGGGAGCAAACAGG
rnacentral:rRNA from 1 species